CUAUCUGGUGCAGCCGUUCAGACUUUAUGCGCACUGAUUUAAAUAAUAUUUAGUAAGAUAUCAAGUAUGUCAUUUGUUUAAUUAAAUUAAAAAUAUUAUUUAUUGACAUAAAAAUUAUUGUUAAAUGAUUUUUAAAAGCAAAAAUUUUGUUACAGGAAGUUCCAUACGCACCAAAUCCCGUCGAACCUUUACCGCCCGGUAUGGAAUAAAUGUAUAGUACUUUAUGCCUGGUUCCAAUAUAUGUAUAAAAAAAACCAUGUUUAUUCACAAAUCGUUCAAUUUCAAACAUGUCAUUUUCAAAAUUAAACUGGAUAACGAAUAUUUUUAUAAAAAUAUAUAAUAGAUUUUUUUUUUAAUAUAUAGGAACCGGGUUUUAAUGUUACAAGUACACCACACGUGUUAUUGUGAUGAAUAAAAAAAUAUCAGUAAGAAAUGUCAUGGUUGGAAAUAUGAAUGUAGCCAGAAUAUUGGCAAGUGUGGUAAUUAAUUAUUAGUAUUAAAUCUUCGCUUGAUAAAUUAAUGUUAUUACGUUAAUUUUAAGGUCAAUGUUACAAAAAAUAAAUAAUUUGAAAUAGUCAUACUUUUAUUA
rnacentral:misc_RNA from 1 species